UGUGACAUCAUGCUAACGUCAUUGGUUCAACAUUUGUUUCAACAUGUAAUAGCCGUUGAACUAUAGUAUAAACUAAUGAUAUAAACACUGUUUUCUAACAGUUUAAGUUUUUAGAGUACAACGGUUGUUUUUACAUGGUCUUGAGUUCGACUCACGCAAUACUCCUAGCAUUAUUAAUUUCCUCCACAUUAUGCGCCUUGCAAAUAUAUAUUUUUAUAUUUAAAAUUCUUCCUUGUAAGGUCCAUGACGUGGACUUGUAUUAAAUAGAAGGAAAUCAUUAAUAAUGCUUAGAGCAUUGCAUGACUCUAAUUCAGAACCUCCUACGUACUUUGAUACCAUAUGAAAUAACCGCUGUACUCUAAAAUCUUAACCUACUAGAGAAUGAUAUUUAUAUAUUUUUAUAUUUGACGGUCCUCAAUC
rnacentral:lncRNA from 1 species